GCUUCAACUGUUGUUUGUAAUCAUUCAAGGAGUCUGGCAAUUUGUUAACCAGUGCUCCAGCAGCAUACUCAUCAGGUAAUUUGAUGUUCUCACUUUUCAGGUCUUCAAUGAGUUUGUGGUACUCAUUGAUUUGGGAUCUCAUGUCUUUGUCUUCGGUCAUCUUCCAGUUGCAGUGGUUGUCAAUGAUGAAGUUGCGCCUUCCAACACUUUCAGCGGUUUACUUCUGAAUCAUUGACUCCCAUAUUUCCUUUGCUUUCUUGUAGGA
rnacentral:lncRNA from 1 species